rnacentral:rRNA from 1 species
UGAGGAAUAUUGGUCAAUGGACGCAAGUCUGAACCAGCCAAGUAGCGUGCAGGAUGACGGCCCUAUGGGUUGUAAACUGCUUUUAUAUGGGGAUAAAGUGGGGAACGUGUUCCCUUUUGCAGGUACCAUAUGAAUAAGGACUGGCUAAUUACGUGCCAGCAGCCGCGGUAAUACGUAAGGUCCGAGCGUUGUCCGGAAUCAUUGGGCGUAAAGGGUACGUAGGCGGGUAAGCAAGUUAGAAGUGAAAUCCUGUAGCUCAACUACAGUAAGCUUUUAAAACUGCUCAUCUUGAGAUAUGGAAGGGAAAGUGGAAUUCCUAGUGUAGCGGUGAAAUGCGCAGAUAUUAGGAGGAAUACCGGUGGCGAAGGCGACUUUCUGGCCAUAAUCUGACGCUGAGGUACGAAAGCGUGGGUAGCAAACAGG